rnacentral:rRNA from 1 species
GACGAACGCUGGCGGCGUGCCUAAUACAUGCAAGUCGAGCGAAGUGUUUCUGGUUCUUGCCCUAGAACGACUUAGCGGCGGACGGGUGAGUCACACGUAAAGAACCUGCCUCAUAGACAGGGACAACUAUUGGAAACGAUAGCUCAUACCGGAUAACAGUGUUUCUCGCAUGGGAGAGAUUUAAAAGUUGGUUUUGGUAACACUAUGAGAUGGCUUUGCGGUGCAUUGGCUAGUUGGUGGGGUAAAGGCCCACCAAGGCGACGAUGGAUAGCCGACCUGAGAGGGUGAUCGGCCACACUGGGACUGAGACACGGCCCAGACUCCUACGGGAGGCAGCAGUAGGGAAUCUUCCGCAAUGGGCGAAAGCCUGACGGAGCAAGGCCGCGUGAGUGAAGAAGGAGCUCGGUGCGUAAAGCUCUGUUGUUAGGGAAGAAUGGAUAUGUAGUAACACGACAUGUAAGAGACGGUACCUAACCAGAAAGCCACGGCUAACUACGUG